rnacentral:rRNA from 1 species
UGACGGUACUUGACUAAGAAGCUCCGGCUAAAUACGUGCCAGCAGCCGCGGUAAUACGUAUGGAGCAAGCGUUAUCCGGAUUUACUGGGUGUAAAGGGAGCGUAGACGGCAAAGCAAGUCUGAAGUGAAAUCCCGGGGCUCAACCCUGGAACUGCUUUGGAAACUGUUUAGCUAGAGUGCAGGAGAGGUAAGUGGAAUUCCUAGUGUAGCGGUGAAAUGCGUAGAUAUUAGGAGGAACACCAGUGGCGAAGGCGGCUUACUGGACUGUAACUGACGUUGAGGCUCGAAAGCGUGGGGAGCAAACAGGAUUAGAUACCCUG